UCAAAAACAUCUUCCCUUGAUGAAAUAUAAGGGGUAGGCCCUGCGCGGUGUAAACAUUUAAUAGAGGUAUAUAAACGGAAUUUUAAAGUAGCGUGAUAAGUUGGCCUUUAAUUGGGGUCUGGCAUGAAUGGGUUGACGUUGGGAAGACUAUCUUAGAGAAAAAUGCUGAAAUUUUCUUUUUAGUGAAAAGUCUAAGUUGUAAUUAAAAGACGAGAAGACCCCGUCGAGCUUGGUGCUAAGUUAGAGGUUCUUACUUCUUUCUUUUAUGUUUUAUUGGGGCAAUUAAGGAGAAAAAAAACCUCUUUGAAAUUUAAUUGGGAUCCAUUAUUUAAUGAUAAUCAGUAAAAGUUACCGCGGGGAUAACAGCGCAAGAUUCCUCAAGAGCCCAUAUCUAAGGGAGUUAAUGCGACCUCGAUGUUGGAUUAAAAUAACGGUUUGGUUGUAGGGGCUAACCUAGUGGGACUGUUCGUCCUUUAAAAUUUUACAUGAUCUGAGUU
rnacentral:rRNA from 1 species